CAAGUCGUACGGUACCGGUCCCUUCGGGGAGCCGACGAGUGGCGCACGGGUGAGUAACGCGUAGGUAAGCUACCAUUAGGUUAGGGAUAGCGCGACGAAAGUAGGAUUAAUACCUUUUAUACUUGUUAUACUUAAGUAUAAUAAGGAAAGGCUUUUGCCGCCUUUUGAUGUGCCUGCGUUGGAUUAGCUUGUUGGUGGGGUAACGGCUCACCAAGGCGACGAUCUAUAGCCGAGCUGAGAGGCUGAUCGGCCACAUUGGAACUGAGACACGGUCCAGACUCCUACGGGAGGCAGCAGCUAAGAAUCUUCCGCAAUAGACGAAAGUCUGACGGAGCGACGCCGCGUGAAUGAUGAAGGCCCUUCGGGUUGUAAAGUUCUUUUAUAGGGGAAGAAAGUUUGGUGUAGUCCAAUCUGACGGUACCCUCUGAAUAAGGUCCGGCUAACUACGUGCCAGCAGCCGCGGUAAUACGUAGGGACCUAGCGUUGUUCGGAAUUAUUGGGCGUAAAGGGUACGUAGGCGGCUUAGUAAGUCGGAUGUGAAAGUCUCGGGCUCAACCUGAGGAUUGCGUCCGACACUGCUGAGCUAGAGUUAUGGAGAGGAAGGCGGAAUUCCUGGUGUAGGGGUGAAAUCUAUAGAUAUCAGGAAGAACAUCGGUUGCGAAGGCUGCCUUCUGGACAUAAACUGACGCUGAUGUACGAAAGUUAGGGUAGCAAACAGGAUUAGAGACCCUGGUAGUCCUAACCGUAAACGUUGUAUACUAGGUGGUGGGAGUAAUGAUCCUUUCACUGCCGGAGCUAACGCAUUAAGUAUACCGCAUGGGGAGUAUGCCGGCAACGGUGAAACUCAAAGGAAUUGACGGGGGCCCGCACAAGCAGUGGAGCAUGUUGUUUAAUUCGAUGAUACGCGAGUAACCUUACCAGGUCUUGACAUAUACUUGAAUGGCAUGGAAACAUGUCAGCUUUUCGGAGCAGGUAUACAGGUGCUGCAUGGUUGUCGUCAGCUCGUGCCGUGAGGUGUUGGGUUAAGUCCCGCAACGAGCGCAACCCUUAUUCUUUGUUGCUAACGUGUAAUGGCGAGCACUCUAAGGAGACUGCCGGUGACAAACCGGAGGAACGGUGGGGAUGACGUCAAAUCAUCACGGCCAUUACGACCUGGGCUACAACCGUGCUACAAUGGCAAGUACAAAGAGUAGCGAUACCGCGAGGUGGGCCAAUCUCAAAAAGCUGUCCUCAGUUCGGAUUGGAGUCUGAAACCCGACUCCAUGAAGCUGGAAUUGCUAGUAAUCGCACAUCA
rnacentral:rRNA from 1 species